GGAGAGAUGGCAGAGUGGUCGAAUGUACCUGACUCGAAAUCAGGCGAACCGCAAGGUUCCGAGGGUUCGAAUCCCUCUCUCUCCUCCA
rnacentral:tRNA from 1 species